rnacentral:rRNA from 1 species
GACGAACGCUGGCGGCGUGCCUAAUACAUGCAAGUAGAACGCUGAAGAGAGGAGCUUGCUCUUCUUGGAUGAGUUGCGAACGGGUGAGUAACGCGUAGGUAACCUGCCUGGUAGCGGGGGAUAACUAUUGGAAACGAUAGCUAAUACCGCAUAAUAGUAGAUGUUGCAUGACAUUUGCUUAAAAGGUGCAAUUGCAUCACUACCAGAUGGACCUGCGUUGUAUUAGCUAGUUGGUGAGGUAACGGCUCACCAAGGCAACGAUACAUAGCCGACCUGAGAGGGUGAUCGGCCACACUGGGACUGAGACACGGCCCAGACUCCUACGGGAGGCAGCAGUAGGGAAUCUUCGGCAAUGGACGGAAGUCUGACCGAGCAACGCCGCGUGAGUGAAGAAGGUUUUCGGAUCGUAAAGCUCUGUUGUAAGAGAAGAAAGAGUGUGAGAGUGGAAAGUUCACACUGUGACGGUAUCUUACCAGAAAGGGACGGCUAACUACGUG